GUUAUAUACAGUAGAGAGGCUAUAUACAGUAGAGAGGCUAUAUACAGUAGAGAGGCUACAUACAGUAGAGAGGUUAUAUACAGUAGAGAGGCUACAUACAGUAGAGAGGUUAUAUACAGUAGAGAGGCUAUAUACAGUACAGAGGCUAUAUACAGUAGAGAGGCUAUAUACAGUAGAGAGGCUAUAUACAGUAGAGAGGCUAUAUACAGUAGAGAGGCUAUAUACAGUAGAGAGGCUAUAUACAGUAGAGAGGCUAUAUACAGUAGAGAGGCUACAUACAGUAGAGAGGCUACAUACAGUAGAGAGGCUACAUACAGUAGAGAGGCUAUAUACAGUAGAGAGGUUAUAUACAGUAGAGAGGUUAUAUACAGUAGAGAGGCUACAUACAGUAGAGAGGCUACAUACAGUAGAGAGGCUAUAUACAGUAGAGAGGCUAUAUACAGUAGAGAGGCUAUAUACAGUAGAGAGGCUAUAUACAGUAGAGAGGUUAUAUACAGUAGAGGCUAUAUACAGUAGAG
rnacentral:lncRNA from 1 species